rnacentral:rRNA from 1 species
GACGAACGCUGGCGGCGUGCCUAAUACAUGCAAGUAGAACGCUGAAGCUUGGUGCUUGCACCGAGCGGGUGAGUUGCGGACGGGUGAGUAACGCGUAGGUAACCUGCCUGGUAGCGGGGGAUAACUACUGGAAACGAUAGCUAAUACCGCAUAAGAGUAGAUGUUGCAUGACAUUUGCUUAAAAGGUGCAAUUGCAUCACUACCUGAUGGAACUGCGUCGGAUUAGUUAGUUGGGGAGGUAACGGGUCACCCAGGGAACGAUACAUAGCCGGCCUGAGAGGGGGAUCCGCCACACUGGGACUGGGACACGGCCCAGACGCCCACCGGAAGGAGCAAUAAGGAAACUUCGGGCAUGGACGGAAGGCCUACCGAACAACGCCGCGGGAGGGAAUAAGGGUCUCGGAUCCUAAAGCUCUGUUUUAAGGGAAGAAACAGUGUUAGAGUGGAAAGUUCACACUGUGACGGUAUCUUACCAGAAAGCGACGGCUAACUACGUG